UACAGAGGGUGCGAGCGUUAAUCGGAUUUACUGGGCGUAAAGGGCGCGUAGGUGGUUAUGUAAGUGAGAUGUGAAAUCCCCGGGCUCAACCUGGGAACUGCGUCUUAUACUGCAUAGCUUGAGUACAUGAGAGGGUAGUGGAAUUUCCGGUGUAGCGGUGAAAUGCGUAGAUAUCGGAAGGAACACCAGUGGCGAAGGCGGCUACCUGGCAUGAUACUGACACUGAGGCGCGAGAGCGUGGGGAGCAAACAGG
rnacentral:rRNA from 1 species